rnacentral:lncRNA from 1 species
CUGAUAUAGGGUCUUUCUCGUUCCGUAGGAGAUCAAAAACUGUACAACGUCUUUUUGGAACAAUUACACAGGCGUCGUCAUUCCUGAGUAUCCUGGCAACUAUGUUGACGAUAUCUUUGUCGUACGUGAGGGUUACAAAUUUAGGCCUAUCUGGUAAUCGACGUGUGUGUCACCAUGUUCAGGGUUUUGUAGCAAAGUUAGCUGUUUUUUCCAUAUGCCUGUUAUUACCUUAUAGGGGUAGCCAAAUUUUGACCCUACAUCUAGGAUGUACUGUAGCUCCUUCACUUUAUCCGACCAUUUUGUGACAUGGGUAAAGACCCUCGUGACCAUAGCUCUAAAGGCCGUUAGCUUGUAAGGCAUAGGGUCUAUUGACCAAGCUGGGAUG